CCUUAGCUGUAUACCAGCUCCGCCACUGGAAUUUUACCUUUACCUAAAGGCACCUCUAUUAUUUGGAUGAAGAUGAGAAGUUAUGGUAAUUUGAACAUGAUAGCUGAUCAACUAUCAUUUAAUUCCUGCUAUUAUAUAUACCUCUUCAAUAUCCCUCAAUUUUUUCAUAAAUAAUUUUUAAUUUUAAUUCAUUCUUUAUUUUUUAUAUAUAUAUUUUUUGGGAGAAAAUCAAUAAUGAAGCCCUGGAUUGCUGCUUUCUUGUUUGCUAUGCUGGUGACGAGUUCCGGUUUCUUCGAACUCACUGCUGCAAUUCAAUGCAGCCCGAAAUGUGAAGUGAGGUGCUCUAAAGCUAGCGCGAAGGAAAAUUGCCUAAAGUACUGUGGAAUCUGCUGCGCGAAAUGCCAGUGUGUUCCUUCCGGAACUUACGGGAACAAAGACGAAUGCCCUUGCUAUAGGGACAUGAAAAAUUCCAAGGGCAACCCUAAAUGCCCUUAAGUUUCGUACCUCUCGUAUGUUGUAUUUGCUUUUGUCCGACAAUUCCACCAAAUUGUUUCGAAUAAUACAGCGAUUAACGUCGUGGGCUCUUU